rnacentral:rRNA from 1 species
GCUAAGAAUCUUCCGCAAUGGGGGAAACCCUGACGGAGCGACGCCGCGUGGACGAAGAAGGCCGCAAGGUUGUAAAGUCCUUUUGCAGGCGAAGAAUAAGGUGAAGAGUGGAAAGCUUUGCCGAUGACGUUAGCCUGCGAAUAAGCCCCGGCCAAUUACGUGCCAGCAGCCGCGGUAACACGUAUGGGGCGAGCGUUGUUCGGAAUUACUGGGCGUAAAGGGCGUGUAGGCGGUUUCGUAAGCCUGGCGUGAAAGGUAUCGGCUUAACCGGUAGAUUGCGCUGGGAACUGCGGGACUGGAGUUUUGGAGGGGGAGCUGGAAUUCCAGGUGUAGGGGUGAAAUCUGUAGAGAUCUGGAAGAACACCGGAGGCGAAGGCGAGCUCCUGGCCAGUGACUGACGCUGAGGCGCGAAAGCGUGGGGAGCAAACAGGAUUAGAAACCCCGGUAGUCC